rnacentral:sRNA from 1 species
UACUAUUUGUGUCACUAAACGGGGGUAUCCGCCCCUUUCUUCUAGUUUUAUUUUUUUCUCACAGCUUGUCAACACGCGAAUAGGUCUAAGUGUUGUAAUAAUGUCUUGUGAUAAUAUUGUUCUGUAUGGUGGAGUGGAAGGAGGGGCAUCAAAUACAAAAUUUGUAUUGGUUAACAGUGAUGGUAAAAUUUUGUCUUCAAGUUAUGGAAGUGGUACUAAUCAAUAUUUAAUAGGUGUGGAGGAAUGUUUAAAAAGGAUUAAUGCUUUGGUGCAAGAGGCAUUAGUGAAAGCAGAUUUACCCACAAGUGUAACCCUGGAAG